GGUCGGGAGAGGAUCACCGGAAGGAGUGCCGCCGGCUCAUCGUCUUUCAUACCUACCCAUGCAGCUGCCGGCUGCAGGGGUGUUGCAAGGAGUUAGAGGUCGUGCGCUGGCCGGAGCAGCAGGAGCAAGGAUAUGGCCGCCUCUCUUCUCUGCCACGGUUCCCUCCUCUUCCUUCAGCUCUCGAGAUGUCGACCUGCAGGUUAAGGCAAACCAUUGUUUGACAACAAAUAUGCGGAGGCGUUUUUAUGAAUGUGCAUUUCACCUGAAUCUGGAGAGCUAUUUUAUCUGUCGCGGACAUUUUUGGUGGAAUUCAAUGCUUUAGCAGGAUUAUUAUGGAUUUUCUGAAGGUGGUGGUGGGGGUUGCACGGCACGUUCCGUCUGGUUUCAGCCAUGGCUCCUUAGAGAGCUGGACAUGCUUGGUUGGAGUCGUCGUCGUCCUGGUUGGGGAGAUGAGCAUGCUUAUGCUUAUCUAACAUAUAAAGCCUCCUAGAUAGUUCCGAGGAAGCACUCAACCUAGACGUCGCCCCUAAAUCGCUGCUGCCACCGCUUGUAAAUUUUGUGCCCGCCGAGGGCAUUUUAGUCUUUUCAGCGGGCCAAAAAGGCAGGCAGCGCGGGCAGGAGCGAGACCGCGCAGACUGCGUCUUCCCCACAAACCAUUUCCUGUUUGAAGAGGUGGCCUUUUGUGUGGUACUCAACUGCUAUCCCAGGAAGGGGACAUUCCAAAGAUAUGAAGGGAUAGCCUUUCAUUAAAAACCUGGUCUUUUGUUUGAAAGGGUCUAACUUUUACUGUGAACUACUUAUCAUGAUCUUAUUUUGAAGUGAUGGAUUUUUACAGAUAUUAGGCAGUGCUUGACUUCGGUGGCGUCGCCUUCUGGCAGGUCACGGGGUUAGAGCACAGGAACCUGACACGGUGUUCCAAACUCAGGCGAUCAUGGUCGACCAGAUGUCGAAGGGCUUGGUAGCAACUCUCACGGAGAAAGAGAACAAGUUUUCAAGAGAUUCAGUGUAACUGGAAAUUGUCAGACUCACCGGAGGUAUUCAGGAUUACAAAUUUGG